rnacentral:rRNA from 1 species
GACAGAGGGUGCAAACGUUGUUCGGAAUUACUGGGCGUAAAGCGCGUGUAGGCGGCUACGUAAGUCUGCUGUGAAAGUCGGAGGCUCAACCUUCGAAAGCCGGUGGAUACUGCGUGACUAGAGUACGGAAGAGGAGAGUGGAAUUCCUGGUGUAGCGGUGAAAUGCGCAGAUAUCAGGAGGAACACCAACGGCGAAGGCAGCUCUCUGGGACGUUACUGACGCUGAGACGCGAAAGCGUGGGGAGCAAACAGG